rnacentral:rRNA from 1 species
AUGCAAGUCGAACGAGAAUCUGAUGAAGGAGUUUUCGGACAACUGAUUCAGAGGAAAGUGGCGGACGGGUGAGUAACGCGUGAGGAACCUGCCUUGAAGAGGGGGACAACAGUUGGAAACGACUGCUAAUACCGCAUGACGCAUAGGGAUCGCAUGAUCUUUAUGCCAAAGAUUUAUCGCUUCAAGAUGGCCUCGCGUCUGAUUAGCUAGUUGGCGGGGUAACGGCCCACCAAGGCGACGAUCAGUAGCCGGACUGAGAGGUUGAACGGCCACAUUGGGACUGAGAUACGGCCCAGACUCCUACGGGAGGCAGCAGUGGGGAAUAUUGGGCAAUGGGCGCAAGCCUGACCCAGCAACGCCGCGUGAAGGAAGAAGGCUUUCGGGUUGUAAACUUCUUUUAAGAGGGAAGAGCAGAAGACGGUACCUCUAGAAUAAGCCACGGCUAACUACGUGCCAGCAGCCGCGGUAAUACGUAGGUGGCAAGCGUUGUCCGGAUUUACUGGGUGUAAAGGGCGUGCAGCCGGGUCUGCAAGUCAGAUGUGAAAUCCAUGGGCUCAACCCAUGAACUGCAUUUGAAACUGUAGAUCUUGAGUGUCGGAGGGGCAAUCGGAAUUCCUAGUGUAGCGGUGAAAUGCGUAGAUAUUAGGAGGAACACCAGUGGCGAAGGCGGAUUGCUGGACGAUAACUGACGGUGAGGCGCGAAAGUGUGGGGAGCAAACAGGAUUAGAUACCCUGGUAGUCCACACUGUAAACGAUGAAUACUAGGUGUGCGGGGACUGACCCCCUGCGUGCCGCAGUAAACACAAUAAGUAUUCCACCUGGGGAGUACGAUCGCAAGGUUGAAACUCAAAGGAAUUGACGGGGGGCCCGCACAAGCGGUGGAUUAUGUGGUUUAAUUCGAAGCA